rnacentral:rRNA from 1 species
GGUUAAGCGACUAAGCGUACACGGUGGAUGCCCUGGCAGUCAGAGGCGAUGAAGGACGUGCUAAUCUGCGAUAAGCGUCGGUAAGGUGAUAUGAACCGUUAUAACCGGCGAUUUCCGAAUGGGGAAACCCAGUGUGUUUCGACACACUAUCAUUAACUGAAUCCAUAGGUUAAUGAGGCGAACCGGGGGAACUGAAACAUCUAAGUACCCCGAGGAAAAGAAAUCAACCGAGAUUCCCCCAGUAGCGGCGAGCGAACGGGGAGGAGCCCAGAGCCUGAAUCAGUGUGUGUGUUAGUGGAAGCGUCUGGAAAGGCGCGCGAUACAGGGUGACAGCCCCGUACACAAAAAUGCACAUGCUGUGAGCUCGAUGAGUAGGGCGGGACACGUGGUAUCCUGUCUGAAUAUGGGGGGACCAUCCUCCAAGGCUAAAUACUCCUGACUGACCGAUAGUGAACCAGUACCGUGAGGGAAAGGCGAAAAGAACCCCGGCGAGGGGAGUGAAAAAGAACCUGAAACCGUGUACGUACAAGCAGUGGGAGCACGCUUAGGCGUGUGACUGCGUACCUUUUGUAUAAUGGGUCAGCGACUUAUAUUCUGUAGCAAGGUUAACCGAAUAGGGGAGCCGAAGGGAAACCGAGUCUUAACUGGGCGUUAAGUUGCAGGGUAUAGACCCGAAACCCGGUGAUCUAGCCAUGGGCAGGUUGAAGGUUGGGUAACACUAACUGGAGGACCGAACCGACUAAUGUUGAAAAAUUAGCGGAUGACUUGUGGCUGGGGGUGAAAGGCCAAUCAAACCGGGAGAUAGCUGGUUCUCCCCGAAAGCUAUUUAGGUAGCGCCUCGUGAACUCAUCUCCGGGGGUAGAGCACUGUUUCGGCAAGGGGGUCAUCCCGACUUACCAACCCGAUGCAAACUGCGAAUACCGGAGAAUGUUAUCACGGGAGACACACGGCGGGUGCUAACGUCCGUCGUGAAGAGGGAAACAACCCAGACCGCCAGCUAAGGUCCCAAAGUCAUGGUUAAGUGGGAAACGAUGUGGGAAGGCCCAGACAGCCAGGAUGUUGGCUUAGAAGCAGCCAUCAUUUAAAGAAAGCGUAAUAGCUCACUGGUCGAGUCGGCCUGCGCGGAAGAUGUAACGGGGCUAAACCAUGCACCGAAGCUGCGGCAGCGACGCUUAUGCGUUGUUGGGUAGGGGAGCGUUCUGUAAGCCUGUGAAGGUGUACUGUGAGGUAUGCUGGAGGUAUCAGAAGUGCGAAUGCUGACAUAAGUAACGAUAAAGCGGGUGAAAAGCCCGCUCGCCGGAAGACCAAGGGUUCCUGUCCAACGUUAAUCGGGGCAGGGUGAGUCGACCCCUAAGGCGAGGCCGAAAGGCGUAGUCGAUGGGAAACAGGUUAAUAUUCCUGUACUUGGUGUUACUGCGAAGGGGGGACGGAGAAGGCUAUGUUGGCCGGGCGACGGUUGUCCCGGUUUAAGCGUGUAGGCUGGUUUUCCAGGCAAAUCCGGAAAAUCAAGGCUGAGGCGUGAUGACGAGGCACUACGGUGCUGAAGCAACAAAUGCCCUGCUUCCAGGAAAAGCCUCUAAGCAUCAGGUAACAUCAAAUCGUACCCCAAACCGACACAGGUGGUCAGGUAGAGAAUACCAAGGCGCUUGAGAGAACUCGGGUGAAGGAACUAGGCAAAAUGGUGCCGUAACUUCGGGAGAAGGCACGCUGAUAUGUAGGUGAAGCGACUUGCUCGUGGAGCUGAAAUCAGUCGAAGAUACCAGCUGGCUGCAACUGUUUAUUAAAAACACAGCACUGUGCAAACACGAAAGUGGACGUAUACGGUGUGACGCCUGCCCGGUGCCGGAAGGUUAAUUGAUGGGGUUAGCGCAAGCGAAGCUCUUGAUCGAAGCCCCGGUAAACGGCGGCCGUAACUAUAACGGUCCUAAGGUAGCGAAAUUCCUUGUCGGGUAAGUUCCGACCUGCACGAAUGGCGUAAUGAUGGCCAGGCUGUCUCCACCCGAGACUCAGUGAAAUUGAACUCGCUGUGAAGAUGCAGUGUACCCGCGGCAAGACGGAAAGACCCCGUGAACCUUUACUAUAGCUUGACACUGAACAUUGAGCCUUGAUGUGUAGGAUAGGUGGGAGGCUUAGAAGUGUGGACGCCAGUCUGCAUGGAGCCGACCUUGAAAUACCACCCUUUAAUGUUUGAUGUUCUAACGUUGACCCGUAAUCCGGGUUGCGGACAGUGUCUGGUGGGUAGUUUGACUGGGGCGGUCUCCUCCUAAAGAGUAACGGAGGAGCACGAAGGUUGGCUAAUCCUGGUCGGACAUCAGGAGGUUAGUGCAAUGGCAUAAGCCAGCUUGACUGCGAGCGUGACGGCGCGAGCAGGUGCGAAAGCAGGUCAUAGUGAUCCGGUGGUUCUGAAUGGAAGGGCCAUCGCUCAACGGAUAAAAGGUACUCCGGGGAUAACAGGCUGAUACCGCCCAAGAGUUCAUAUCGACGGCGGUGUUUGGCACCUCGAUGUCGGCUCAUCACAUCCUGGGGCUGAAGUAGGUCCCAAGGGUAUGGCUGUUCGCCAUUUAAAGUGGUACGCGAGCUGGGUUUAGAACGUCGUGAGACAGUUCGGUCCCUAUCUGCCGUGGGCGCUGGAGAACUGAGGGGGGCUGCUCCUAGUACGAGAGGACCGGAGUGGACGCAUCACUGGUGUUCGGGUUGUCAUGCCAAUGGCACUGCCCGGUAGCUAAAUGCGGAAGAGAUAAGUGCUGAAAGCAUCUAAGCACGAAACUUGCCCCGAGAUGAGUUCUCCCUGACCCUUUAAGGGUCCUGAAGGAACGUUGAAGACGACGACGUUGAUAGGCCGGGUGUGUAAGCGCAGCGAUGCGUUGAGCUAACCGGUACUAAUGAACCGUGAGGCUUAACCUU